UACAGAGGGUGCAAGCGUUGCUCGGAAUUAUUGGGCGUAAAGCGCACGCAGGCGGCAUGGUAAGUCAGUUGUGAAACUCCCGGGCUUAACUUGGGAACUGCAGCUGAUACUGCCCUGCUUGAGUACGGAAGAGGGGGAGCGGAAUUCCCAGUGUAGAGGUGAAAAUUCGUAGAUAUUGGGGAGGAACACCGGUGGCGAAAGCGGCUCCCUGGUCCGAUACUGACGCUCAUGUGCGAAAGCGUGGGGGAGCAAACAGG
rnacentral:rRNA from 1 species